UCCUGCGGGAGAUUGCUGCUAUUAGGGUUCCACUUAGCCAUGCAAGUCAAAGGGGUUCUUCGGAACCACUGGCAAAAUGCUCAGUAACACGUCAAUAAUCUGCCCUAUGGUCAGGCAUAACCUUGGGAAACUGAGGCUAAUUCCUGAUAGGAGAUUGAUACUGGAAUGUUCUUUCUCCCAAAGUUUCGAUGCCAUAGGAUGAGUUGGCGGCUGAUUGGGUUGUUGGUGAGGUAAUGGCUCACCAAGCCGGAGAUCAGUACGGGCCUUGAGAGAGGUAGCCCGGAGAAGGACACUGAGAUAAGGGUCCUAGCCCUAAGGGGUGCAGCAGGCAGGAAACUUUACAAUGCACGAAAGUGUGAUAAGGGAACCCUAAGUGCUUACUUUCGAGUGAGCUUUUGUUAAGUGUAAAAAUCUUAACGAAUAAGUGGUGGGAAAGACCGGUGCCAGCAGCCGCGGUAAUCCCGGCGCCACGAGUGGCAAUCAGUUUUAUUGGGUCUAAAGCGUCCGUAGCUGAUUUGGUUAGUCUUCUGUUAAAUAGUUGGGCUUAACCCAACAUCUGCAAAAGAUACUGCCAAGUUAGAGAUUGGGAGGAGGCAAAGGUAUUCCUUGGGUAGCGGUAAAAUGUGAUAAUCCUUGGAAGACCACCUAUGGCGAAAGCAUUUGCCUAGAACAAAUCUGACAGUGAGGGACGAAAGCCAGGGGAGCAAAACGGAUUAGAUACCCGAGUAGUCCUGGCCGUAAACGCUGCGAACUAUGUGUUGCAUAUCCUUCAUGGAUGUGCAGUGCCGAAGCGAAGGUGUUAAGUUCGCCACCUGGGAAGUAUGGUCGCAAGACUGAAACUUAAAGGAAUUGGCGGGGGCGCGCUACAAGGGGUGGAAUGUGCGGAUUAAUCAGAUUUUACACCGUGAACCUCACCAGGAACGAUGGCAGAAUGAAGGUCAGAUUAAAGGUUUUACCUAACAGGCCAAGAGGAGGUGCAUGGCCGUCGUCAGUUCGUGCCGUAAGGUGUCCAGUUAAGUCUGGCAACGAACAAGACCUGUGUUUAUAGUUGCAAACAACUUUUCCGAAAGGUUUGUGCACACUAUAGAGACUGCCUUGGAAACAAGGAGGAAGGUGCAGGCAACGGUAGGUGGUAUGCCCUGAAUUUCCUGGGCUUCACGCGCAUUACAAUGGCAGGGACAAUAGGAUACAACUCCGAAAGGAGAAGUUAACCCCAGAAACCCUGUCUUAGUUCGGAUUGAGGGCUGCAAUUCACCCUCAUGAAGCUGGAAUCCCUAGUAAUCGAAAGUCAACAGCUUUCGGUGAAUACGUCAACGUGCCUUGCACACACCGCCCGUCAUUCCAGCCGAGCAGGGUUUAAGUGAGGCUCAGACUAAGUCUAAGUUGAACUUAAGCUCAGCAAGGAGGGACAAGUCGUCACAAGGUA
rnacentral:rRNA from 1 species